rnacentral:rRNA from 1 species
AGUGAACGCUGGCGGUAGGCCUAACACAUGCAAGUCGAACGGCAGCACAGUAAGAGCUUGCUCUUACGGGUGGCGAGUGGCGGACGGGUGAGGAAUACAUCGGAAUCUACUUUUUCGUGGGGGAUAACGUAGGGAAACUUACGCUAAUACCGCAUACCACCUACGGGUGAAAGCAGGGGAUCUUCGGACCUUGCGCGAUUGAAUGAGCCGAUGUCGGAUUAGCUAGUUGGCGGGGUAAAGGCCCACCAAGGCGACGAUCCGUAGCUGGUCUGAGAGGAUGGUCAGCCACACUGGAACUGAGACACGGUCCAGACUCCUACGGGAGGCAGCAGUGGGGAAUAUUGGACAAUGGGCGCAAGCCUGAUCCGGCCAUACCGCGUGGGUGAAGAAGGCCUUCGGGUUGUAAAGCCCUUUUGUUGGGAAAGAAAAGCAGCAGGUUAAUACCCCGCUGUUCUGACGGUACCCAAAGAAUAAGCACCGGCUAACUUCGUG